ensembl:snRNA U2 U2 spliceosomal RNA
AUCGCUUCUCGGCCUUUUGGCUAAGAUCAAGUGUAAAAAUAUAAAAUAUUUUCUGCAAUGUUUGUAGAGACUACCUUUUUCCAGUUGCUUGAUUUUACUUAAAUUUUACUCCCCUCCUUUUAUAGUAAUGUAUAAGCAAGUAAAA